rnacentral:rRNA from 1 species
GACGAACGCUGGCGGCGUGCUUAACACAUGCAAGUCGUACGGUAAGGCCCUUUCGGGGGUACACGAGUGGCGAACGGGUGAGUAACACGUGAGUAACCUGCCCACAACUUUGGGAUAACGCUAGGAAACUGGUGCUAAUACUGGAUAUGUGCUACUGCUGCAUGGUGGGGGUUGGAAAGCUCCGGCGGUUGUGGAUGGACUCGCGGCCUAUCAGCUUGUUGGUGGGGUAGUGGCCUACCAAGGCGGCGACGGGUAGCCGGCCUGAGAGGGUGACCGGCCACAGUGGGACUGAGAUACGGCCCAGACUCCUACGGGAGGCAGCAGUGGGGAAUAUUGCACAAUGGGCGCAAGCCUGAUGCAGCAACGCCGCGUGCGGGAUGACGGCCUUCGGGUUGUAAACCGCUUUCAGCAGAGACGAAGCUUUUUGUGACGGUACCUGCAGAAGAAGCACCGGCUAACUACGUG